UCAGGAGCUGCUUUUGACUGGCAAAACAGCAGUGACAGUGAACCCUAUGUGCUCUCAGCCUGGUCUGGCAUAUGAACAUCAAAGAGCUUUGGGAGUGCUCCUGUGCUACAUCUGAGGCAGCUCCGGAGCACAAUACUCCAGAUUAUUUAAGUGGAGGUCCAUGGUGGCAGUGUUGCAGGUGGAGCCCAGAGGAGUUGGGUAUACAGCCGACUCUUCAUUGAAGAAGGCAAGAGGAGCCAAAGAGGAAGCAUGGACAGAUGUGGAAACUACAUGGAAAGAAAGACCACAGACCCCGAUGGGAUGGAACAGAGCUUGAUUAUUCCUUCCACUGCCCCAGAAUUUCCCCAAAUGUCCUCUGAGUUCCCACUGCCUGUCCAAUAAGGUCCUUUGUCACUUGUGCCAGUCCAAAAGAAGCCUAGUGUGCCUUCAUUGAUGUGAAAACACAGGGAUCAACUUAUCAUUGUACUGUGAAGAAGAGGACCUUUGGAAACAGAUCUGGAUGUUCAAACAACAUUUUACUCAAUUAAUUGGGGAGGAUUUAGAACUGCAGAUUUGUCAGUUUCCCUUUAGCUUACAUUAACUUUUUUUAAACCUCA